rnacentral:rRNA from 1 species
GAUCCUGGUUCAGGACGAACGCUGGCGGCGUGCCUAACACAUGCAAGUCGAACGGAGAAUUUUAUUUCGGUAGAAUUCUUAGUGGCGAACGGGUGAGUAACGCGUAGGCAACCUACCCUUUAGACGGGGACAACAUUCCGAAAGGAGUGCUAAUACCGGAUGUGAUCAUCGUGCCGCAUGGCAGGAUGAAGAAAGAUGGCCUCUACAAGUAAGCUAUCGCUAAAGGAUGGGCCUGCGUCUGAUUAG